rnacentral:pre_miRNA from 1 species
UGCAUACGUCACCCCGGCGGAGGCCGGGGCCGCCAUAGGGAGUCGGAUUGCUCUGAGCAGAAGCCGCUGGCGGCCCCGGCCUCCGCCGGGGCGACGCUGCUU